AGUAAUCUUGCGGCCGAUGGUUCUGCGUGCACGCCUGUGGCGCGGAUGAAAAGGGAACAGGGUGCGGCGAAUCUCGCCAAUGCCCUGGCUGCCCCCGCAACUGUAAGCGGCUAACGAUGCCCUGAUGCCACUGACUUCGGUCGGGAAGGCGGGCGAAGUGUCAAGCCGUGAGCCAGGAGACCUGCCAUCGACAACGGGCGUUUC
rnacentral:ncRNA from 1 species